rnacentral:rRNA from 1 species
GCAAGUCGAGCGGAAACGAGUUAACUGAACCUUCGGGGAACGUUAACGGCGUCCAGCGGCGGACGGGUGAGUAAUGCCUAGGAAAUUGCCCUGAUGUGGGGGAUAACCAUUGGAAACGAUGGCUAAUACCGCAUGAUGCCUACGGGCCAAAGAGGGGGACCUUCGGGCCUCUCGCGUCAGGAUAUGCCUAGGUGGGAUUAGCUAGUUGGUGAGGUAAGGGCUCACCAAGGCGACGAUCCCUAGCUGGUCUGAGAGGAUGAUCAGCCACACUGGAACUGAGACACGGUCCAGACUCCUACGGGAGGCAGCAGUGGGGAAUAUUGCACAAUGGGCGCAAGCCUGAUGCAGCCAUGCCGCGUGUGUGAAGAAGGCCUUCGGGUUGUAAAGCACUUUCAGUCGUGAGGAAGGUGGUAAUGUUAAUAGCAUUAUCAUUUGACGUUAGCGACAGAAGAAGCACCGGCUAACUCCGUGCCAGCAGCCGCGGUAAUACGGAGGGUGCGAGCGUUAAUCGGAAUUACUGGGCGUAAAGCGCAUGCAGGUGGUUUGUUAAGUCAGAUGUGAAAGCCCGGGGCUCAACCUCGGAAUUGCAUUUGAAACUGGCAGACUAGAGUACUGUAGAGGGGGGUAGAAUUUCAGGUGUAGCGGUGAAAUGCGUAGAGAUCUGAAGGAAUACCGGUGGCGAAGGCGGCCCCCUGGACAGAUACUGACACUCAGAUGCGA